AAGUCGUAACAAGGUUUCCGUAGGUGAACCUGCGGAAGGAUCAUUAACGAAUAACUAUGGUGUCUUGGCUGUCGCUGGCUCCUCGGAGCAUCGUGCACGCCCGCCAUUUUUAUCUAUCCACCUGUGCACCGAAUGUAGGUCUGGAUGACUCUCGUCUCCGGGCGGAUGCGAGGUUUGCGUGUGCGUAGCACGUUCGCGUUCGCGCGUGCAUUGCGUAUGGGCUCACCUCGAAUUUCCAGACUCUACGUCUUUUUACACACCCCAAACGUAUGAUGCAGAAUGUAGUCAAUGGGCCUUUAAAAGCCUAUAAAACACUAUACAACUUUCAGCAACGGAUCUCUUGGCUCUC
rnacentral:misc_RNA from 1 species